rnacentral:rRNA from 1 species
UGAGCAAUCUGCCCUUCUCAUCGGAAUAAGCGUUGGAAACGACGUCUAAUGCCGAAUACGACCUCCUUUCGCAUGAUCGGAGGUGGAAAGCUCCGGCGGAGAAGGAUGAGCUCGCGGCCUAUCAGCUAGUUGGUGUGGGUAAUGGCCCACCAAGGUGACGACGGGUAGCCGGCCUGAGAGGGUGACCGGCCACACUGGGACUGAGACACGGCCCAGACUCCUACGGGAGCAG